GAUGAACGCUGGCGGCGUGCCUAAUACAUGCAAGUCGAGCGAACGGACGAGAAGCUUGCUUCUCUGAUGUUAGCGGCGGACGGGUGAGUAACACGUGGAUAACCUACCUAUAAGACUGGGAUAACUUCGGGAAACCGGAGCUAAUACCGGAUAAUAUUUUGAACCGCAUGGUUCAAAAGUGAAAGACGGUCUUGCUGUCACUUAUAGAUGGAUCCGCGCUGCAUUAGCUAGUUGGUAAGGUAACGGCUUACCAAGGCAACGAUGCAUAGCCGACCUGAGAGGGUGAUCGGCCACACUGGAACUGAGACACGGUCCAGACUCCUACGGGAGGCAGCAGUAGGGAAUCUUCCGCAAUGGGCGAAAGCCUGACGGAGCAACGCCGCGUGAGUGAUGAAGGUCUUCGGAUCGGAAAACUCUGUUAUUAGGGAAGAACAUAUGUGUAAGUAACUGUGCGCAUCUUGACGGUACCUAAUCAGAAAGCCACGGCUAACUACGUG
rnacentral:rRNA from 1 species